AUGGGCACGCAGCCCGAGCCUUGCGGCCCCUCGGCGCCGGUUGGCUCCUGCAGUGGAGGGCGGAGUGAGACUCAGACACCCAGCCGGCGGGAGGACCACGAGGCUGGCUGGGGACAGGCGGCAGGUCAGGGGAGGGAAAGGAGAAAGGACAGAGGGGGCGCUGGACCCGGGACAGGAACGAGAGAAGCUCACCAGCUCGCUGACCGACCCACACGCAGAAAGACAGACAAACUCUUCUACGCUCUCACCCUGGAACCGUCGGACUGUCUCCCAAGGCAGGUGAACCCCAAAUCCUUCCUGCAUUCUUGUGGGCCAUUGAAAAAAAUGAGGAUGUGUGUCCGUCUUGUGCCACCCCAUGACCUGGGCGGAAGAAAGGGGACGAGGGCAUUUUCCUCCAGCGGCCUCUGGGUGCCCGGCCUGCGGCAGCCUCUGCUUGGGACUCAGAACCCUCUCAGUUUGGUGAGUUACUUGUAAGAGCUGGCGCUGCACAGAGAUGCUGGUCCCUUCUUGACACACCCAUCACCCACCAGGUGCUGGCCUUUCUGCCUGCCUGGGUAACCUCUGAUUCCAGUUCCAUAAAUAUCUAGAUGGAGGAAGCAGUCUGGGGAGGAUAAGCCAUCAAGGGGACUAAUGCAUCUUUUAUAGCUGGGAGCAGGCCUUGGUGUCACCACUGUCCUCUGUUAAGUGGAUUUAACCCUGAGAUUGAUGGAGAGCCAGCAGGUAAGGGGAGUGGGUGUGGAUGAAGGGAGGGUGGCCUCCCGUCGGUGUUGAUUUCAGGGAUUCUCCAAAAGUCUCACUUUGCUCCUCUCACCAUAAUUUAUCUUGUACAGUCACAAGAUUUUGGAGUUGAAAGGGACUUGUCUUUUGGUUCAGACCAAGAGGCUGAGGAGUGAUGGAAAGAACCUCAGAGACCAACAAGUCCCAUUCUCUCAUUUUCCAGAGGAAAGUCCAACUGAAAGCCAAAGAUGCAAGUGAGGUUCUCAGCAUCACAGGUGCGGGAGGGGAGAGCCUGACCGGCCCGAAGUCUCCCCGGGUGCCCUUUCCUCCCCUUCCGAACAGCGCUCCCUCAGGGCACUGCUUCUCUAGCCUGCUGCACGGGAGACGCUCCUGACCAGUUGUACAAGGCACAGACCCCACUGCGGAGGCUCUGAUCCACCGCCGUGUGCUGUCUCAUCAGUGCAGCUAGUAAAGCCGAGCGGUGCCGGCACGCUCCAUAAACUCGUGUCAAACGUUAACUCAGAGCUAAUGGGCACAAAGGAAUAAACGCAUUAUCUCCGCCA
rnacentral:lncRNA from 1 species